rnacentral:lncRNA from 1 species
CUGCUUUCUUCUUGACCAUUAGUGGAUAGGAAAAAAAUGCUCUGAUUUUCUGUAACCAUUUGUCACCAAGGCCAUAAAGACAUUGAACUAAUUUCCUUAUUGGAGUUCAUUAUUGGAAGUCUUGAGGAGUUUACACAUUUAUCUACAAAGUAAGUAGGCCAGCUCAUUUGUCUUGGCUCAUGUGUAAUCUUUAAAGCAUAUUGAAAAAUUACUAUUCUCAAGUAAGGAUAAUGUAUAUCUCAGGUCACUUACAGUCUCAAAGUUUUGUCAGUAUACUUUAAAACAAUCCUGCGAACAGAUCUAGAUUGAAGGAGACUAAAGAAUCAUGAACUCGAGGUGGCCCCGGGGCAGGCGCAGAGCUGGCAAGCACGUGGUGGGGCCCCUGAGGCGUGCAGAGGGUCACGCACCUGGGAGCCUGUUGCUGGCACGGUCCGGGCGGAGGUUCUGCGGCGGGAGGCAGCCUGUCGGUUGCAGGGCUGAAAAAGCAGUUCUACAAGGCAAGCCAGCUGGUCAGUGAGAAGGUCGGAGGGGCUGAGGGGACCAAGCUGGACGAUGACUUCAAAGAGAUGGAGAUGUCAUCAGCAAGGCGGUGACGGAAAUGCUGGCAAGGACCAUCAAGUACCUGCAGCCCAACCCAGCCUCACAGGCUAAGCUGACCAUGCUCAACACAGUGUGCAAGAUCCAGGGCCAGGUGAAGAACCCCGGCUACCCGCAGUUGGAG